rnacentral:lncRNA from 1 species
ACAUUCCUAAUGUAACUUAGUUAGAUCUCAUUUUUCUAAGAAUGGAAGUGAACAGAAUGUAAGACAGUUGCAAAGAUGAUUUGUUUUUAUUUCUGCAUAGGAUAACAAAUUUGAUGUGAUAUGUAAAAAUUAUAAUUAAUGCUAGCUAGUUUCGUAAAUAAACGAACCGUAGCUCAGAUGAAUUAUAAAUAAAAGUAUAUCAUCUGUUUUUAGCUCACCUGAGCCAAAGGCUCAGGGUGAGCUAUUGUGAUCGCUCACCGUCCGGAGUCCGUCCGUUAAGCUAACUGCUAUUAUGUUAUUUAGAUGAGGUACUGGCGUUGCCAUCUCCAACGGGACCAAAAGCCUGCCUGUGUGUGACUGGAAGUCUUCAGUGUCAAGAUGUACUGGCGGGGUGAAAUCAAAUGUUGUACAUGGAAAUGAACAACUAUCCGGACAGAAUGGCCCGAAAUAACAAUUUGAAUAUACAUGUAAAUACAUAUAUUCAAUAAAGCAUUGAAAGCAUUA